rnacentral:rRNA from 1 species
UCAGAUUGAACGCUGGCGGCCCUUCUUACACAUGCAAGUCGAACGGCAGCACGGGUGCUUGCACCUGGUGGCGAGUGGCGAACGGGUGAGUAAUACAUCGGAACAUGUCCUGUAGUGGGGGAUAGCCCGGCGAAAGCCGGAUUAAUACCGCAUACGAUCUACGGAUGAAAGCGGGGGACCUUCGGGCCUCGCGCUAUAGGGUUGGCCGAUGGCUGAUUAGCUAGUUGGUGGGGUAAAGGCCUACCAAGGCGACGAUCAGUAGCUGGUCUGAGAGGACGACCAGCCACACUGGGACUGAGACACGGCCCAGACUCCUACGGGAGGCAGCAGUGGGGAAUUUUGGACAAUGGGCGAAAGCCUGAUCCAGCAAUGCCGCGUGUGUGAAGAAGGCCUUCGGGUUGUAAAGCACUUUUGUCCGGAAAGAAAUCCUUGGCUCUAAUACAGUCGGGGGAUGACGGUACCGGAAGAAUAAGCACCGGCUAACUACGUGCCAGCAGCCGCGGUAAUACGUAGGGUGCGAGCGUUAAUCGGAAUUACUGGGCGUAAAGCGUGCGCAGGCGGUUUGCUAAGACCGAUGUGAAAUCCCCGGGCUCAACCUGGGAACUGCAUUGGUGACUGGCAGGCUAGAGUAUGGCAGAGGGGGGUAGAAUUCCACGUGUAGGCAGUGAAAUGCGUAGAGAUGUGGAGGAAUACCGAUGGCGAAGGCAGCCCCCUGGGCCAAUACUGACGCUCAUGCACGAAAGCGUGGGAGCAAACAGGAUUAGAUACCCUGGUAGUCCACGCCUAAAACGAUGUCAACUAGUUGUUGGGGAUUCAUUUCCUUAGUAACGUAGCUAACGCGUGAAGUUGACCGCCUGGGGAGUACGGUCGCAAGAUUAAAACUCAAAGGAAUUGACGGGGGCCCGCACAAGCGGUGGAUGAUGUGGAUUAAUUCGAUGCAACGCGAAAAACCUUACCUACCCUUGACAUGGUCGGAAUCCUGCUGAGAGGUGGGAGUGCUCGAAAGAGAACCGGCGCACAGGUGCUGCAUGGCUGUCGUCAGCUCGUGUCGUGAGAUGUUGGGUUAAGUCCCGCAACGAGCGCAACCCUUGUCCUUAGUUGCUACGCAAGAGCACUCUAAGGAGACUGCCGGUGACAAACCGGAGGAAGGUGGGGAUGACGUCAAGUCCUCAUGGCCCUUAUGGGUAGGGCUUCACACGUCAUACAAUGGUCGGAACAGAGGGUUGCCAACCCGCGAGGGGGAGCUAAUCCCAGAAAACCGAUCGUAGUCCGGAUUGCACUCUGCAACUCGAGUGCAUGAAGCUGGAAUCGCUAGUAAUCGCGGAUCAGCGUGCCGCGGUGAAUACGUUCCCGGGUCUUGUACACACCGCCCGUCACACCAUGGGAGUGGGUUUUACCAGAAGUGGCUAGUCUAACCGCAAGGAGGACGGUCACCACGGUAGGAUUCAUGACUGGGGUGAAGUCGUAACAAGGUA